rnacentral:lncRNA from 1 species
CCAGACAAAUAUCAGUGCUCUCUCCCACUCAUCUGGAGAUUUUCAAUUGCCAAACCGCUUCCGGUCUUCUUGGCCAGCUCAGCAUCCACCCCAUACGAUCUAAGCCCACCGUGUUGGACGUAACUUGGCAUGAUCUUAACGAACUCUUUUCUUCUGUAACUAAUACCGGCAGCCCCACUGAUAAUGUCAGUGAACCUAGCAACGCCAGCUGGAGCGGUGUUACCAAACAGGCCGACGACAAUUCGUCCUAUGGGCUCCCCAUUGAUGGAUAUGUCAAGAAAUGCUUUCUUUGUCAGAGUUGUGUCAAUACAACUUAGUUGAUGGGAAUAGAUUUGGAUUCGCUCCUGUUCAUUUUAUUUGUGUUGGGCGGAUUUUCUUCAGCUAGUGCCUGGAGAGUGGAAGGGGUCAAGGGUUGAUGUGUCCAAGAGGAGAGAGAGAGGUGAUAAUGGCGAGGUAUCGGCUGAGAAGUGGCAGUGGGGGUUGAGGGAGAGAGGGGCUGGGAGGUAGGUGAGUCUUGAAUUGGUGAGGGAGAAAGUGGUGGUGGUGGUGGUGUGAGAAGGAAUUGGGCAGAGGAUUGGAAGAGCUUUGGGGUUUGCCUCAUUUUCUUUGGUGGGGGAGUGUUGGGUGUGUGAAUCUCUCUCACUGCUUACCAAACAGUAACCUGUUGUAUGGAGGUUCUGUCUCUCUCUCUCUCUGUCUCUCUCUCUAUCGUGCAGAGAGAUUUUGAGGAUAAGAAAGGAAGAAAAGCCAAUCCACAUGCUUGGGAUUGUCCCUUGGUUUAUCAUAGUGUAUAAUCUUUUAUGGUGGCCAGCCUUCGAAAGCCCCAAAAAUUUACGCAUCACUGCUAAAAAAAAUGGGGGCUUCUCUCUCUCUCGCUCUACAACACAACGUACUAUUCAGCCUGAAAAACUAGUUGGUACUCUAAUUCUUGUUUGGAUUUUUGGAUGUACCAAGACGGAUGAGUAAAGCUUCAAAAAAAAAAAAUGAAAAGGAGAGAGUAAAAGAGGAAUAUACCUAUUUAAUUAAAAUCAUUUCUUGUGGAUAAUUUCAAAUCCCACCCACCUAGCCAAGAAACUGAAGAAAUAUAUUUGCUUCUUCCACUUCAUUUUCUUUUUCUAUAUAUUUUCUUCCCUUCUGUUUUUCCUCCACAAAUGUAAAAUCCAAAUAUACCCAAAAAAACAUAGACAAAUAAAUCUAGAUCUCAGAUCAAAUGGCCCAACUUUUCACUUCUAGAUUCACUAGAGAUCAUAUCUUUCAGCUUCGCUUGAGACGUGGAUACAAGACUUUUAACUCAAGAUUAAGGCCAAGUGAAUAUAAUCCCACUCGAUUGGUACAAACUAGGUUAAAUCCAAUGAAUAAAUUGGCAACCAAAAUCUCAACACUUUGCUCUAAUCAAUCAUUGAUAUACAUAUUCACCAGCAUUUUUACACAAACGAUAUACAUCAAACACGUCCAAAAAACAAUUUCAUAUCGAGUGAUUCUUCUAGGGUAACGCAAAGCGGCUCAAUACUGAACGACUGACCAGAUGAAUUGACAAACCAGUGUAACUACAAAAGAUAUUACAUAUAUUUUGGCCUCCAUAACAAGAUACAUAAAUCCACAAAGCCAAAAACAAUAGCGCAGACAUAAAGGAUGUACCCAUGUUUGGGUCUGAUUUCGGCCAGAAUUGCGACUAACUCUCAUCAGGUAGCCAGAGUAAAUGAUAAUAAAAUGUCAAAGCAAGUACUGCGGGAAAAAUUUUUCAGUUGUUAGUUCCAACUUGCUUUCAGUGAAAUAGCCAACUUCCUUUCAAAGUGCUGUGUUGGUUGUGGGCGUCAUCACCUUCUAAAAACAUGAGCCGACACUGAAUAACCAGAGAAGAUUAAAAAUUCCGUAACUAGCGUGAAAUAAUGAAAAUGUAAAGCAAGAAUCCAUAACAAAAUUAUAGGUUUUACCAACCAAACAGAACUGCUGAGACUUCUAUUUUAGAUUCAUAUGAGAAACUGCUAGUAAAUGUUAUGGACAUGACUUGCCCUCGUAACAAUCACCUUUUAAUCUGAAACUGUGUCUAAGUUGGCUAACUGUUGGACGAGGAUAACCCUCAAGGGUUGGCCCGGUGAUCUAGGAUAGGGACUUAGGAGGUCUGCUCCCUUUUAAGGUCUCAGAUUUGAAACUUUUUAGGUGCUAUCAAUUUCUGAGUUGGGUCACUCCAUAUGGAGCUUUUUGCCUAGCUUUAAUUGCACCACCCACCCCACCCCACCCUACCCGGCUAGUCACCGAUUGGGCCCAUGAAUUAGUCUGUCCUUGGGCGGAUACCGAGUUAUAAAAAUAAAAAUAAACUGUUGCACGAGGAUACAUAGGUUCUAUGGCAUUAAUGGCUCACAACUUUUCAGUCUCGCUAAUCCAAAAUAUACUAUUUCCAUUGUUUAGCAGUUUUAUUUUUAUUUUUUGAAAAAAAAAUGUUGUGGGGUCAGGUGGGCUGAAGGACCUAGUGGAGCAAUGGUAAUUAACUCCCGUGGGACAGAAUACAAGGGUGCAAUUCUCAAGGAAUAGCUCGGAACAUUACAUUUGAACUUUGGGAAGAACCUAGAAACCCAUCAAAUAUUAGAAGAAAAAAAGGAUUUUGCUCUUUCUACAUUUAUCCAGAAGAUAUCAAAGUUAAACUUCUUCUUUUUAGAGAGGAGGCUAGAGAGGAAUAAGAGACAGCUUGGAAGGAUAAAAAUGAAGACCAAAGCCCUUCAUUGAAGCAUAGUGUCCCCCUAAUUUUACAUGAAAAAAAACUAGGUUCUAUUAUUCUCUAAGUUGGGAAAAUUUUUAGUUAUAAGAAUUGGUCUAUCCCAUUACUUUGGUCAGUCAUCAACAUAAAUUACCUUUCACAUUCUAAAUAUCUAGAAGAAUGUUUCAAUACGAAAUUGAAAACAAACAAACAAGUAUUUUAUAUUUCACGUGCUAUCGUGCUACACAUUAGUGAGCAGUUUAGGACAAGCAAAAGUGGAAACAGAAUUAUGAAGUACCCAUUACGACGAGGCUCCUCUCUUUAUACAUCGUACAAAAUGUGUGAUUGUGUUGGGUGUGGUGCCCCCCCCUGCGUGGCGUUCUGUGUGGCCCCCUCGCUGGAACAGUUACGCACGAGAUUUUGGGGUGUGUGUAUCCAUCCAAAUCCCUCCAAAUUACAAAAUUGACUGCAAGAACAAGUGUAAAGUAUUAUAGGAAAGCAACAAGACCAGGAGAAAAUUUCAAGAUGCAAGCAAAAAACUAAGACCAGUGGAUGCUGCAACUAAAAAGAAAAAACAACCAAAAAAUACCAAACUCAACUGCUAAGCCAAUGAGAAGUGCAGAAUUGUCAGUCCUAUACUUAACCAGGAAGUGUGGAACGUUGCUAGAAAUCUGAGAAUCCUGCUUUUCUCAAAAGAGCUCAGAUAACAAAAGAAGCAUAAUGCUAUGACAAGAGACAUCAAACAAAAAUAAUUGGAGAAUCAACUUUAGCAUGAUGGUCACUUGUUUUUUCUUUUAGGAAUGUUUGCGUAAACAUUCAUUUUUUCAUAUACUAAAAUAUCAUCAAGAAAUGUCAUAAAAAAGAGCCAUCUGAUAAAAAAAAGAUGGGGAAAAAGUGUCAUAGAAUUUUUAUGCAACAAUUUGAGAGUUUUAGCAUAAAAUUUGUUCAACUAUUCCAUAACUAUAUGCAUUAAAAGCUCUAUGAUGUGCUGACCAGAUGAUCCAAAUAGGUCCAUGCAAACAUAGCUACCAAUUGUAAAAUAAGGUGAAAAAAACUUCACGGGUACCUAUAGACAUAAAGGAUGUAUGGUGCCUACUCUACCCAGACGAUCCGAAUAGGUAUUUAUUUACACUAACCAACAUAGCAAUGUCCAAAAAAAAUUUUAAAUCAGUGGAUGAUUUAAACAUAGUGAGAGGAUUCUGAGAUAAAUAAGGUCAGAAAUUAGGGUUGUUGGUGGCUUGUCCAGAGAAAUAUGCAAUGGAGACUUGUGUUAUUAUAAAAAAUAGAUAGUAUUGUCAAAAGAAGGAGGAAAAGAGGAAAGAGAAGACUCAACUUUGUAAAAGUCGAUAUAUCCCUUCAGGAUUUGUCUGAACGGAGACACUUAUUUUAGGAUUUUUAUAGAUUUCUAGCUUAGGGAGGAUCAUAGUUGUUAAUAUUUUUAUAAUCGAGUAUAAUUUAUAUUUAUGUUUUAUCAAUUCAAGUUGGAUUUUGUUAAUACUGGUGUUUCAAUAAUUUUCUGCUAUAAUUUACGUUCUUCACUUGCUAUUAUUCAUAUUUAGAUUAAAUAUUUCAAGAAUGUCUUUGAUACAUAUUUAGUUAUUUUUGGGGCCCCAUGCGUGGCUAAUUUUCCUAACUGGGACGAUUGUGAGAUCGAUUGGGAUCAAGGUUAAAAAGCAAAGGGGGAACGGGGUGUAGCGGAAGGACGCGGAUAAAAACCGGCACAGUAAAGUAGGGCAUGAAGAGGUAAUAAGUAAGGGGAGGUAGGCGGGGGGAGGGAUGGGAAUAGUGAAGACAGAGGGGGACGGCAGGAACUAGAAAGAAAAACGGUGCAAAAUAAUGAAGCAAGGGGGAAGAGACAAUACAAUGAUGGUCGAGUGUGGAGAAGCGGGGGCGAAACGAGGCCACACACCAGGUCCCCGUGAUAGAGGAAAAGGUGAAAAGAAAGGGAAGGGGCUAUGGAGUGGAAGCCAGAGGGCAGAAGGCGAAGGUAGAAGUAGGAAGCCGAGGGACCCAGAGAGGAAAAGGAAGUGAAGAUAGUGGAGUAGGGUUAGAGUAUGAUAAUAAUAUAGGUAAAGAUAUUUUCACCAUUAGAUCUUCUAAUUUUCUUCUUCUUCUUCGUUCUAAAUGAUUUUUUCUUUGAACAAUUUAGAGGCAUCUUAUUAUGAUCGAUACUGUGCUUAGCUGAUGAAAGGCCAUACUCAUAUAUACGUUGCAUUGUAAAAUUUAUGCGUGAGUUGGGUUUAGUAUAUGUUGCGCGAAUCAAUGAUGCUUAUAACAACCAGAUUUAUUUUAGAAGUUGAAGAUUGAAAGAAUAAUUGGUUUUAAAAGCUAAAUCUUCCGGAUCCAAGACUCACGAUGUAGUCGAAUGAUUUAAGUUAUAAUAAACCUCUAUUGGAAUUCUGAGAAACUUGAUUGGUUAGAUCAAUUGAUUCUGCGUCAUUUUUAUUAUAAAGUUUAAAUCAAUUUUAAUUGUGUUCAUAAUUUAAAUUUAGUUUAAAUCAAUCAAAAACCAAAAAUACAAAUUUUUUUUUUGAAGCAUAAGUUAAAAUUGAGUUAGGAUUGAAUCGUAAUAUUUUAGUUUUCUUGUGUUCAUCUUGGCACUGCUCCUCAUGGGAUCGAUACUCGUACUUCAAGUUUAUUACUACUUCGGGACCUGUACACUUGCGGUAAGGAAUUCACUUUGGGAGCAAAGACAGAAACUCCUCUCCCGUGAUAAUUGGCCUAUCUUUGAACUCUAGAAGCCAAGUUCUUUGGAUGUCUACAAUUUUGAACAUCCUUGGCUUGAAAACCAUCUCGGUUUAAAGCCGGCAAGUGUUCCUCUUCCCAUGGGGUGUUUGGGAGGUUGGUUUUGGCGGUCAGGCUGAGAGUAUUUGGGAAUCUUGAACUAGGGUUUUAGAUUUUUGAGAUGAUGCAUGAAAAUAUGGGCAUUUUAGCUCUUUUUAUAUACUAAAGACAACCAGAGAUUGAGGACUUUUAGACUCCUAAAAGAACGUGAGGAGUCUCAGAAGUUGAAUUUUAGAGAGUUUUGAAGUUUAAACUAUGUCUCUUCUUUACCGUGCCCUUCUUCAACUGUCGUCCGAUUCGAAGUUGAAAAUUCAGUUGCACAGAGAUGGUAGAAACUGGGUUUAUUUAACCGAAUUAUAGGUUAAUUGGGUUUUAGUCGAAUAGGCUUGAAUUGAAGAGUGGAAAUGUGAGAAAAAAGUCGAGCUUAGACAAUUUCUUCUAAGGUAUUGAUAAUUUAAGUGUGGUUUACUGAUUUGGAUGGGAGGAAAGGACGUAAGGAGAUAAGGAAUUUAAUAGAUUUAAGGAUAAGAGGUUUCCGUAUGUUAAUGUUGAGUUUUAAAAAAACAUACGUGGACCUUUUAAAUACACUAUAGUUUUUAUAGUACUUUCUGUCACAAACUUCGGUCGGAGGGAUCCCCCCGAAAUUCAGGUUCGAUCAGCCAAAAUUUUAGUGAACUAUAGGAUUUUGGCAGUAAUGCAUUUUAGUUUAAAUUGAAUUCAAUACCUUAAUUCUUUCUUCCCACAGGUCUUAAUUUACACAAAGCAUAUAUUAGGAAUGGUUCUAACAAUCAUUUAUUGUGAAUAUCAAAAAUUUGAGACUUCUAUGGACAUUUGUCAAAUAAAUAAAUUCAACAUAAAUAGCCAUAUACUGUAAACACAUGAAAGUUUUAAACUAGAUUUGAUAUUACUAUUGUUUUUGGAGUUUAGUUAUAUAGAAUACAUCUUGGAUGGAGGACUAUUCCUUUCUAUAACUAUUAACAACUCGAAGGUAACAUGAAUUAAUUAAGAAUUCAAAAUAUUUUCAAAUGGAUUGAGACUAUACCAAAGUUCAGUACUAAUGAAAUAAAAUCUUUUCUCUCAAAGGAUUUUGUAAAAAAUAUCCGCCAAUUACUCGAUGUGAUACCCCGAACCCCAGAAUAGAAAUUAAAAGUACUGGGAUUUUGAAAGUGUUUCAGACAUGUUUUUUGGUAAGAAAAAUAUUACUCAAGAAACAAAAAUUUUUGGUAAAUUGAUAGAAAUUGGGACACGUACCCUUGAGCAGAUAAGCAAGACGAAUGUGGCACAUGUAGGCCAAUGGUGUGAGGUGAGCCAAAUGGUGUAUCGAGUGAGUCAUGUAGAAUGACUUGCCUAAGAUUUGACCAUCCAAGUCAAAAAAAUGGCAAGUUUGUCUCAGCACUAGUGCCUGAGAACUUGUGCAGUGAAUGAGCAAAAAAGAAGACAAGGAACAUGAGGGAAGGAAAUAGAAAGAAGAGAUUAAAAAGCUAGGGAAAGAAAGAGAGAAAGAAAGAAAGAAAAACUUAGGAGAGAGAAAACUUGAUGAAGUGGGGCGCAGUUGAUGAAAGUCGAGGAGAUAGAGGAAGAAAAGGGCAAGAGAAAUGGAAGAGAUAGGAUGGUGAAGGAGAAUCACGUUGAAACCGUUUGUGAAUUCAUAUAAAAACUCGGUAAAAUACCCUUGUGUCUCUCUCCUAUUUUUGUAAAUUUUUUACAUUAACGUGUUAACACUUGAUAUAGGAAGGAUGCCCCUAGCAUGGUUGACCCUUGAGAAAACGUUGAUGAAAAUAUAGCUCGUGUAUGUCGUGGUUAGGCUUAGAAUUAACAGCCUGGGCUAUGUUCAGUUUUUAUAAAUAGUCAGUAUUUGUGCGAGUAAGUCCCUCAUUAUAGUGACUUUUGAUUGAUUUUGAGGGUGUGUAGGAUACGCCAAAUUCACGAUGGUCUAACAAUUUCAUUAAUUCUAUUUUCCCUAAUCUUGGCCGAAAAGUCGAGAAGAGACGUUUGAGUCUCUGUGGAAAUCAAAAAAUCAA